UAGGGAAUCUUCCGCAAUGGACGAAAGUCUGACGGAGCAACGCCGCGUGAGUGAAGAAGGAUUUCGGUUCGUAAAACUCUGUUGUUAGGGAAGAAAAAAUGUAUAGUAACUAUAUACAAAUGAGAUGGUACCUAACCAGAAAGCCACGGCUAACUACGUGCCAGCAGCCGCGGUAACACGUAGGGGGCAAGCGUUGUCCGGAAUUAUUGGGCGUAAAGCGCGCGCAGGUGGUUUAGAAAGUCUGAUGUGAAAGCCCACGGCUCAAACGUGGAGGGUCAUUGGAAACUAAUAAACGUGAGUGCAGGAGAGAAAAGUGGAAUUCCUAGUGUAGCGGUGAAAUGCGUAGAGAUUAGGAGGAACACCGGUGGCGAAAGCGGCUUUUUGGCCUGCAACUGACACUGAGGCGCGAAAGCGUGGGGAGCAAACAGG
rnacentral:rRNA from 1 species